GAACUCCACUGCCUUUGUAAGAGAAUGAUUGGAUAUAAGAGACAGGUCGGACUGCUGCCAGACUAGGGAUGUAGACAUCAUUUGGAUUUAUAAAGAGAAUGGAAAAGCAGAUCCCCAGACAGAACAGCAGUGUCAUCUGGUCUAAUGAUGGGAGAUGGAUAACAGGACUUGUGACCCAGAAAAAGAAAAACUGAUCUACUGCUUAUUGUAGUUGUGCAACAUCUAUGCUAUAUUGAAUGCUCUGCAAUGGGAAACACCAAGAUGAACACAAGAUGUAUACAUUUUCAUGGCCGAGAGGGACCUUGAGUCAAAUGAAACAGGCCAUCUCUUCUCAUUUCUCCCCAUGCUGCGUUAGGACAUCUAAUUCAGAAAUCACUGUAAUACAACAUUUAAAAUGCACAAACCCAGGAAUAUGGGAACUCAGAGAAAGAAAAGCUCACUUCUGAUGAAGGAGAAAUGAGUGGCAGAGAUUUCCUGAAGAUGUGGUAUUUAACCUGGUACAGACCCUAGAGGAUGGGCUUGAAGCAUCCAAGAGGACUUGGAGCAGAGGAAGAGUGUGGCCACAGAACUGAAGACAGAAAGAGGCUACUCUCAGUUUAACGGGAAGGGAAUGAAGU